rnacentral:rRNA from 1 species
UACGAAGGGGGCUAGCGUUGCUCGGAAUUACUGGGCGUAAAGCGCGUGUAGGCUGCUCAGCAAGUCGGAUGUGAAAGCCCUGGGCUUAACCUAGGAAGUGCAUUCGAAACUUCUGAGCUUGAGUUCUGGAGAGGAAGGCGGAAUUCUCGGUGUAGAGGUGAAAUUCGUAGAUAUCGAGAGGAACACCGGUGGCGAAGGCGGCCUUCUGGACAGUGACUGACGCUGAGACGCGAAAGCGUGGGGAGCGAACAGG